rnacentral:rRNA from 1 species
CCUACGGGAGGCAGCAGUAGGGAAUCUUUCACAAUGGGCGAAAGCCUGAAGGAGCAACGCCGCGUGCAGGAUGAAGGCCUUCUGGUUGGAAACUGCUUUUAUAAGCGAGAAAUAUGAUGGUAACUUAUGAAUAAGGAUCGUCUAACUACGUGCCAGCAGCCGCGGUCAUACGUAGGAUCCGAGCAUUAUCCGGAGUGACUGGGUGUAAAGAGUUGCGUAGGUGGCCUAAUAAGUAGCUAGUGAAAUCUGGUGGCUCAACCAUUCAGACUAUUAGCUAAACUGUUAAGCUCGAGACCGUUAGGGGUAACUGGAAUUUCUAGUGUAGGAGUGAAAUCCGUAGAUAUUAGAAGGAACACCAAUAGCGUAGGCAGGUUGCUGGGACGGUUCUGACACUAAGGCACGAAAGCGUAGGGAGCAAACGGGAUUAGAUACCCUGGUAGUC